GAAAAUAAUAUGAUAUAUAUUUAGUCAAAUAAAUUUAUUACAUGAGACUUAGGUAUAAAGAAAAAAAAGUGUGUAUAAUUAACAUAUAUGUUUUUAUGAAUGUAUAUAUAAAUGGGAGACAUUAACCGUGCUAGCCUGGAGAGUUGCAUGGCACAACUAGUAUCUGAGAUGAGCCAUGCUGGCUGAGGUGAAGAGAGGGUGAUGCUUAACGUGGAGGGCAUGUGGUGUGAAUGUCCCUGCAAAUUAUG
rnacentral:lncRNA from 1 species